GAUCCUGGCUCAGGACGAACGCUGGCGGCGUGCUUAACACAUGCAAGUCGUGCGCGCUUUUCUUCCGCUUCGGUGGGGGUUGGGUGAGCGGCGAACGGGUGAGUAACACGUGAGGAACCUGCCCCGAAGACUGGGAUAACAGCGGGAAAUCGCUGCUAAUACCGGAUGUCCACAUGCUGUCGCAUGGUGGUGUGUGGAAAUGGGUUUCCGCUUCGGGAGGGCCUCGCGGCCUAUCAGCUUGUUGG
rnacentral:rRNA from 1 species